rnacentral:rRNA from 1 species
UACGAAGGGGGCUAGCGUUGCUCGGAAUCACUGGGCGUAAAGGGUGCGUAGGCGGGUUUUUAAGUCAGGGGUGAAAUCCUGGAGCUCAACUCCAGAACUGCCUUUGAUACUGAGGAUCUUGAGUUCGGGAGAGGUGAGUGGAACUGCGAGUGUAGAGGUGAAAUUCGUAGAUAUUCGCAAGAACACCAGUGGCGAAGGCGGCUCACUGGCCCGAUACUGACGCUGAGGCACGAAAGCGUGGGAGCAAACAGG